AGCGAACGCUGGCGGCAGGCCUAACACAUGCAAGUCGAACGAACCUUUCGGGGUUAGUGGCGGACGGGUGCGUAACACGUGGGAACGUGCCUUUAGGUUCGGAAUAACUCAGGGAAACUUGUGCUAAUACCGAAUGUGCCCUUCGGGGGAAAGAUUAAUCGCCGUUAGAGCGGCCCGCGUCUGAUUAGCUUGUUGGUUGGGGUAAUGGCUCACCAAGGCGACGAUCAGUAGCUGGUCUGAGAGGAUGAUCAGCCACAUUGGGACUGAGACACGGCCCAAACUGCUACGGGAGGCAGCAGUGGGGAAUCUUGCGCAAUGGGCGAAAGCCUGACGCAGCCAUGCCGCGUGAAUGAUGAAGGUCUUAGGAUUGUAAAAUUCUUUCACCGGGGACGAUAAUGACGGUACCCGGAGAAGAAGCCCCGGCUAACUUCGUG
rnacentral:rRNA from 1 species